rnacentral:other from 1 species
CGUCUCCUGGAAUGUUCGCCAGUUGGUGUCGUCCUUGAGCCGUUAGAGAAACUAGAGGAGACUUCGGCGUCAACGCCGGUGUGCCUGCCCGUCGCAUCGUGUGCUCGGGAAGCCUUAGACGUUGCCCGGGUCCCCGCCUUGGACCAUAACGGUUCAGGGCAAUCCAUCAGCGGCAUUCUGGGAGACUU